UACGAAGGGGGCUAGCGUUGCUCGGAAUCACUGGGCGUAAAGGGUGCGUAGGCGGGUCUUUUAAGUCAGGGGGUGAAAUCCUGGAGCUCAACUCCAGAACUGCCUUUGAUACUGAAGAUCUUGAGUUCGGGAGAGGUGAGUGGAACUGCGAGUGUAGAGGUGAAAUUCGUAGAUAUUUCGCAAAGAACACCAGUGGCGAAGGCGGCUCACUGGCCCGAUACUGACGCUGAUGCACGAAAAGCGUGGGGGGAGCAAAACAGG
rnacentral:rRNA from 1 species